rnacentral:misc_RNA from 1 species
GGAUCAACCAGGUAGCAUCCCUCAUCGACGUCGGCUCGACGUGACCCGAUCCACAGGGACCCGAUCACAAUCGAGAUGACCGUCGUUCGCACGUGGCGUGGAACGCUUYUGUUCGUGGGGCAAAUAGAGGACGAGGCCUCGUGCCCACCCCAUGUUCCGCAUCCGAGAGAUCGAGCAUUACGCCGUGUGCCCGCAACCCGAGCGCCCUUACGCCGGCGCGCGAGAGAGGGACACGGCAUCUGCUUUGGGUUCAGCCACGAACGGCGACACCGAACGGUGCGGCAGCACGUGACGGAAGAAUGAUAAUAUUGCCGGCGAAAUGCCUUCGUGAUAGGUAUCAAACACAGGAAGCCGACGAACGACGAGGCGAGGGCGCACUCGUGCGAACGAUUGAAGGGGCGCGGUUGGGAUGUCG